rnacentral:rRNA from 1 species
CCCUUAGAUGUCCUGGGCCGCACGCGCGUUACACUGAUGCACUCAACGAGUUUACGACCUUGCCCGAUAGGGUUGGGUAAUCUUUUUAAAAUGCAUCGUGAUGGGGAUAGAUUAUUGCAAUUAUUAAUCUUCAACGAGGAAUUCCUAGUAAGCGCGAGUCAUCAGCUCGUGCUGAUUACGUCCCUGCCCUUUGUACACACCGCCCGUCGCUCCUACCGAUUGAGUGCUCAGGUGAAUAAUUCGGACUGCAGCAAUGUUUGGAUCCCGAACGUUGCAGCGGAAAGUUUAGUGAACCUUAUCACUUAGAGGAAGGAGAAGUCGUAACA